rnacentral:tRNA from 1 species
GCAUCUGUGGUUCAGUGGUAGAAUGCUCGCCUGCCACGCGGGCGGCCCAGGUUCGGCCGAUGCA